GUUCAGUUGGUAGAGCACGUGGCUUUUAACCACGUGGUCGUGGGUUCGAGUCCCAC
rnacentral:tRNA from 1 species